rnacentral:rRNA from 1 species
UGAGGAAUAUUGGUCAAUGGGCGAGAGCCUGAACCAGCCAAGUAGCGUGCAGGAUGACGGCCCUAUGGGUUGUAAACUGCUUUUAUGUGGGGAUAAAGUGCGUGACGUGUCAUGCAUUGCAGGUACCACAUGAAUAAGGACCGGCUAAUUCCGUGCCAGCAGCCGCGGUAAUACGGAAGGUCCGGGCGUUAUCCGGAUUUACUGGGUUUAAAGGGAGCGUAGGCUGUCUAUUAAGCGUGUUGUGAAAUUUACCGGCUCAACCGGUGGCUUGCAGCGCGAACUGGUCGACUUGAGUAUGCAGUAAGUAGGCGGAAUUCAUGGUGUAGCGGUGAAAUGCUUAGAUAUCAUGACGAACUCCGAUUGCGCAGGCAGCUUACUGUAGCAUAACUGACGCUGAUGCUCGAAAGUGCGGGUAUCAAACAGG